rnacentral:rRNA from 1 species
AGAGUUUGAUCAUGGCUCAGGACGAACGCUGGCGGCGUGCCUAAUACAUGCAAGUCGAGCGAGCGGAACUAACAGAUUUACUUCGGUAAUGACGUUAGGAAAGCGAGCGGCGGAUGGGUGAGUAACACGUGGGGAACCUGCCCCAUAGUCUGGGAUACCACUUGGAAACAGGUGCUAAUACCGGAUAAUAAAGCAGAUCGCAUGAUCAGCUUUUAAAAGGCGGCGUAAGCUGUCGCUAUGGGAUGGCCCCGCGGUGCAUUAGCUAGUUGGUAAGGUAAAGGCUUACCAAGGCGAUGAUGCAUAGCCGAGUUGAGAGACUGAUCGGCCACAUUGGGACUGAGACACGGCCCAAACUCCUACGGGAGGCAGCAGUAGGGAAUCCUCCACAAUGGACGCAAGUCUGAUGGAGCAACGCCGCGUGAGUGAAGAAGGUUUUCGGAUCGUAAAGCUCUGUUGUUGGUGAAGAAGGAUAGAGGUAGUAACUGGCCUUUAUUUGACGGUAAUCAACCAGAAAGUCACGGCUAACUACGUGCCAGCAGCCGCGGUAAUACGUAGGUGGCAAGCGUUGUCCGGAUUUAUUGGGCGUAAAGCGAGCGCAGGCGGAAGAAUAAGUCUGAUGUGAAAGCCCUCGGCUUAACCGAGGAACUGCAUCGGAAACUGUUUUUCUUGAGUGCAGAAGAGGAGAGUGGAACUCCAUGUGUAGCGGUGGAAUGCGUAGAUAUAUGGAAGAACACCAGUGGCGAAGGCGGCUCUCUGGUCUGCAACUGACGCUGAGGCUCGAAAGCAUGGGUAGCGAACAGGAUUAGAUACCCUGGUAGUCCAUGCCGUAAACGAUGAGUGCCAAGUGUUGGGAGGUUUCCGCCUCUCAGUGCUGCAGCUAACGCAUUAAGCACUCCGCCUGGGGAGUACGACCGCAAGGUUGAAACUCAAAGGAAUUGACGGGGGCCCGCACAAGCGGUGGAGCAUGUGGUUUAAUUCGAAGCAACGCGAAGAACCUUACCAGGUCUUGACAUCUAGUGCCAUUUGUAGAGAUACAAAGUUCCCUUCGGGGACGCUAAGACAGGUGGUGCAUGGCUGUCGUCAGCUCGUGUCGUGAGAUGUUGGGUUAAGUCCCGCAACGAGCGCAACCCUUGUUAUUAGUUGCCAGCAUUAAGUUGGGCACUCUAAUGAGACUGCCGGUGACAAACCGGAGGAAGGUGGGGAUGACGUCAAGUCAUCAUGCCCCUUAUGACCUGGGCUACACACGUGCUACAAUGGGCAGUACAACGAGAAGCGAGCCUGCGAAGGCAAGCGAAUCUCUGAAAGCUGUUCUCAGUUCGGACUGCAGUCUGCAACUCGACUGCACGAAGCUGGAAUCGCUAGUAAUCGCGGAUCAGCACGCCGCGGUGAAUACGUUCCCGGGCCUUGUACACACCGCCCGUCACACCAUGGGAGUCUGCAAUGCCCAAAGCCGGUGGCCUAACCUUCGGGAAGGAGCCGUCUAAGGCAGGGCAGAUGACUGGGGUGAAGUCGUAACAAGGUAACC